rnacentral:rRNA from 1 species
GUGGGGAAUAUUGCACAAUGGGCGAAAGCCUGAUGCAGCAACGCCGCGUGAGGGAUGACGGCCUUCGGGUUGUAAACCUCUUUUAGUAGGGAAGAAGGGAGCUUGCUCUUGACGGUACCUGCAGAAAAAGCACCGGCUAACUACGUGCCAGCAGCCGCGGUAAUACGUAGGGUGCAAGCGUUGUCCGGAAUUAUUGGGCGUAAAGAGCUCGUAGGCGGUUUGUCGCGUCUGCUGUGAAAUCUGGGGGCUCAACCCCCAGCCUGCAGUGGGUACGGGCAGACUAGAGUGCGGUAGGGGAGAUUGGAAUUCCUGGUGUAGCGGUGGAAUGCGCAGAUAUCAGGAGGAACACCGAUGGCGAAGGCAGAUCUCUGGGCCGUAACUGACGCUGAGGAGCGAAAGCAUGGGGAGCGAACAGG